UAAGGGCAGCCAUAGGUUCCAGCUGGGCAGGGCUAUGGCAGCACACACUGCCAUCCCCACAGCUCCUUCCUGUCACCCCUGAGGAGGGGUCACAGCUGCUGUGAGUCAGCACAGCCUCAUGAGGAGGCGGUUGACACCUUCCUGCCCAUCACCAUGUGCCAGGGCCGGCACCACACACACCCUGCAGGAUCCUCCCGCAGAGGCAGGUAUAGAAAUGGAGAACCUCAAUAUCCCACUCCCAGAUCUCAGUGAAGAACAGCAAGACAUUUUCCGAAGGGCUUUUAUUGCUGAUGACAAUUACUUGGCGAAUCACGAGAAAAUGAGCCAGUCCUUCUGGGAAUCACUUGUAAAAAGCUUAGCUGCUACUGACCCACCUAUCCUGGCUACUGAUGAGAAGAACAAUCUCCUCAACAGGUGCAGUGUUCUGCCUGGGGCCUGUGCAGCCUGCCUGAAAGCCAUAGAGACAAAAGGCGUCAUGGCAAUGGCAGUCCUUUACCUCUUGUUGAAGAGUUCCAACCCACCUGUGUAUCAGCAGCUGCCCAGUUCCAAGGGAAAGGAUGAAAAACUGAAACUCCUCAAGAGAUUGGAAAGAAAUCUCAUGGAUUCACAAGAGGACAAAAAGGCUGAAAACAAAUUGCAGAAAUCCAUGGAUGGAGGCACACACGGUAUACCGGCUGAGGUUGUUCCUUAUGGAGAUUCAGGACUAUCCAGAAGAGAAGAUUCAAUUUCAGAUGCAUAUGGGAACAAGAACAUUCACCCUCAGUGGUGGACAGUACGGUGGAUGGGCAUACGCAAGGAUGAUGAAUUCUUUCAUUUUGUUAUUCUGUGCUUUGCAAUUGGAGCUUUACUAGUUUGCUACUACUACUACAAAGAUUGGACAAUUUCUCUUGGAAUUGGUUUAAUUACCUUUGCUUCUCUGGAAACCACUGGGAUUUACUUUGGUCUAGGUAAGUAUCUACAGCAGCCAGUUCUGUACCAACUACGUCUAACUAUGGAUACAAGGGCAUGCAGUCACUUAACUACACGAGUCCAGAAAAUGGCUACUGCUGAGAUUCUUUAAGCCGUCACUUAACCAUCCUGUCUCAUUCACAAUUUCAGCAUGGCUGAAAACAAACAUGCCUCUGUGGCACUGGAGGCAGAUGUGGUUCUCAGCGGUCACAAGACCCUGAGUCACCUCUUUCUGUAGCAAUGGCAGAAUGCUCUGUUGCCAUGGCAAUGUAUAAUUUUAGCAGUGAGGCAGUCUUUGCAGAUAUGUUCCUUAAGGUGCUGUGCACUUGAGCUGCCAUUUAUUGCCCCGGGACUGAGGCUGCUGAACACCCCAAGGACCAAAUUCCAGCAGAACCUGGAUGAUGGCAGUUAAUAAGAAACAACAGAAAAAAAAACAAAACUCUUGGCUAUCCUUAGGGAUCUCAAAGGAAAGAUGCAGCAAGCAGCAAGGUACGACUUUCAAACUGAGAACAGAAGUCUCUAAGUUUGUGCCACUACAUCUGGUAUGUUGUGGAUGGUUCCAUGCAGAAUUACGCUCAUCACUACACUGCUAUCAGUGAUUUUACAGAAGCACUUAUUUAAACAGUAAUCUUAGGUUCUUUAAUGGUACAACAGGCAUUUGUUUGGCUUCUGCUGUUUUCCACUGUUUUGUGUUUUAUGUUUAUAUCUGGCUUACCUUGGAAAAAAAAUGUGUUUUCACACUUAGUGUAUCGACUGAGGAGCGUGCUCAACACUUUUGUUCCUCUGAUCGACAAGCUCAGGCCAACAGGUAUGAGGAAAGCUGCCUAGGAGCAUUUCUGAAGAAUUCAACAAAACUCUGCUGGCUGAAUUUACAGUACUGAAAGAACUACUUUAUCAGGCAGUCAUAAAAUUGUAAUGGCUAAUACAAAACACUGAAGUGUUAAACAAUAGAAAUAUAUUCAGUCCACUCAAAUAAGUGAAGUUAAAACUGAAGACAUUUGUAGCUCAGCUAAGCUCUUAAGAUUAUUUGGAUCAAAGCUGAUAUUUAAUUAUGCUCAAUAUAAGCACCUUCUCCUUCCCUCCCACCUUUAUUCACAUUAAGUCCAGCUGUAGCAUAAGAAGAUCAACAAAAAGACCUGUACCAUCCUCAGCUGGGUCUGGAUGUUUCAGUAGGAAUCUUGGCACCAGAAAGCCACCUCCUCUUCACCCUUCUGAUGCUGCAAGUCAGGCAAACACCAGCUGCUUGCUUACAUAGUUGAGCUCCAGCAGUGCAAUAGCACUGAAGCAGAUUAAUUUAUUGUGGCAGAACUCAAUAUAGGGGGCAUAUAAUGAUUUCACCCAGUGAAAGCUGGGCAAGAUUUUACAGGCAGUGACAUAAUGGUGCAUUAACAAGAGUGUUAAUAGCAGCAAAUUACAUCUCUUUGAGGAGGAGAGAAUUAAAAUGCUGGGUUGGACCCAUCCCCUCACUUUUUUUACUCCUUUUGAUUAAAAAUACUUAUCUUUCCCCUCUAGCUUAUAGGGACAUGCCAUGCAUUAUAUAAAACACACUAUAAUAUUUUAGUUAUUCUCUUUAGGCUUUAAUCAGUUAUACAUGUAUGUAGGACUAUUGCAAAACAAAGCAAACCAAACAAACUGGUUACCUUCACAUGUUUAGUAAAAACAUAAAGGUCUUCAUAACCACAGGGGAAGGCAUCAAAUCAGACAGAACCAUAAAACUGUAAGAAAAUGCAGAUCUAAAAAGCCAUUAACCCAAAAAGCCCAAUUUUAGUUCAGUGAAACAUUUUCAAGCCUUGCUCAGAAAAACAAAGUCUACUUUUCAGGAGUAGUACUUUACUUUAAGCACCAGUGAUAAAUAUCGUUCUGGACUAUUGCAGUUCUAUUUGCACACUCAUAAACAAUCGUGUGCAGGCCUGUACCAACACAGCACAGCAGUUACGUAACAUGUCAGGGAUUAAAUUAAGCAGUAAAGAUAAAUACAAGUUAUUUUGUAAUAUUUAUAUUCCCAUAUAAAUGUAAUUUUUAUAUAUAUUUGAAGAACUAUUUUCUCCCUUCAAGUUGCUUAUUGUUUUCAGUCUGCAAAUAAAAUCUUGCUGAGACCAGUGUAGGAGUGUUCGUGUACAACAGUUUUUGAGUGAACUGAAAACUCUGUAUACUGCCAUUCUGCUCUCAUUAUUUCAGCUUAUUUUUCUUUUUGUAUGUCUCUUGUGCUGUGACAUAGUCAGAAUGAGAAGCAUAUGAA